ensembl:lncRNA
UCAGGGGCUUCCCAGGUGGCCCUUGUGGUAAAAAACAAAAACAAAAAAAAAACCUACCUGCCAAUGCAAGACACGUAAGAUAGAUGGGUUCAGUCCCUAUGUUGGAAAGAUCCCCUGGAGAAGAGCAUGGCAACUCACUUGAAUAUUCUUGCCUGGAGAAUCCCAUGGACAGAGGAGCCUGGCAAUUGCAAGACCAACAAAUUGCAAGGAAUAAGACAUUUGACCCUGUGACCAGUGGCUAAGAUUGCAGAUUCCUCAUCUCAACACUUAACUGCCCAAGAGCUGCUCAUUCUGUGCCCAACCCAGGAAGAUUUAUUUUCAGUGACCAAGAAAUGUCAUACUAACCAUGUCUCAAGAGGGUUGGUUCUUUCAGAAAGACUUCCACCUUCGUUUGGCAAACCUGAGAAAACUGCAGAGACUACUCCAAAACCUUGACAAGCACAGUGUGUGGCUGCCAUUAAAAGAAAAUGUGUCAUGAAACCAGCUAUUCUAAGCACAAGUGACUGGCAAAAGGAGGACGGAAUGGUGGUGUACUCAAACGGUAGGCUCACUGGUGCUUGGGGGCAAGUGGGGAAGUCCAGGGCAUAAAUUGUGGUCCUGGAAAAACUUGCAUGAAUAUGAAGAAGUACUGGAGGGACGAUAGGCAUAACAUAAGAGGCAGCAGUGGUAAGUAUACAGCUGUUAUCUGCACAAACUUAUGAUUUUCUCUUUGUUGAAAGUAAACCGAUGUCAAACAUUGUUCUAGGCAAUUCGUAUAUAUCACUUCACUUAAUCGUUAGGACAGUGCAAUAAGGUCAAUAUUAUUAUGCUAUUUAUAUUACAAAUGAGGACUCUAAAAAAAACAUGAAUAAGCAAAGUAAUUUGCCCAAGUUAUACAGAUAACAUAUUGCUGAGGUAGGAUUUGAUUUGAACCCAACAAAUCAAACUCUGG